CCGGCCAAGAGAGGUCCCCAGCAGAACUCCAGCCUGUCCACAGGGACUGGCACCUGACCCGGGAUGCAGAGGCCAUUGCUCCGAACCCUUGCCUGUGUCCGCCCCCUGAGGGCGCCCCACUCACGGGCGCCCUGAGGUGCCAAGCUGUCCCCAGCAGGAGCCCGGGAAGUCAUCAGAAGGGAAGCCCAAGGCCUGGCACCUCCUAAAACACCCUCCUUCCCCCAGGCCCCACCACAGGGGCUCCGGGACAUCCGGGAGGCAGCAAGGCAGCCAAGUUGGGCUGAACCCGCUACCCAGAACCACACGGGGAAGACCGGGGCCCUUGGGUUCCGGAGUGCAACCCCUGCACAGGGAAUGAGCUGGGGACACAGGACAGGUGGGUGACCUGCAGGUAACACAUUGCCUCCAGGCCCACUCUUUCGGGGAGCUCCCACGCUAGGGCUCAGAGACCGCGCAUGCAAG
rnacentral:lncRNA from 1 species